rnacentral:rRNA from 1 species
GAGUUUGAUCAUGGCUCAGAGCGAACGUUAGCGGCGGGCCUAACACAUGCAAGUCGAGCGAGAAAGGGGCUUCGGCCCUGAGUACAGCGGCGGACGGGUGAGUAACACGUAGGUAACCUGCCCUUGAGUUGGGGACAACGGUCCGAAAGGACCGCUAAUACCGAAUAAGUUUCUCGGGAUUCCGGUCUCGGGAAGGAAAGCCUCGCAAGGGGCGCUCGAGGAGGGGCCUGCGUCGCAUCAGCUAGUUGGUGGGGUAAUGGCCUACCAAGGCGAAGACGCGUAGCUGGUCUGAGAGGAUGAUCAGCCACACUGGGACUGAGAUACGGCCCAGACUCCUACGGGAGGCAGCAGUGGGGAAUAUUGGACAAUGGGCGCAAGCCUGAUCCAGCCAUGCCGCGUGGAUGAUGAAGGCCUUAGGGUUGUAAAAUCCUUUCGGCGGGGAAGAUAAUGACGGUACCCGCAGAAGAAGCCCCGGCUAACUUCGUGCCAGCAGCC